rnacentral:misc_RNA from 1 species
GUGAAUCAUCGAAUUUUUGAACGCAAAUUGCACUUUCUGGUAUCCCGGAAAGUAUGCCUGUUUGAGGGUCAGUUAAAUAAAAAUCGGUGUUGUUGUUGCAUUUCGUGGUGACGCGUAGGAAUUGAGUUGUUUUCUUUUUGGGUAAGUGACUUAAAAUUUUGCAUGAUUUUCGAAUGUAUUUAAAUUUAUAAAGUUCGUUUGAGAUAUUGUAUACUUUAUUAGGUUCGGUCAUUCGCGUGAUUCGCAUCUAUAAUUUUUGAUUAAAUGAC